UACAGUUACACGUUAAUCAGGAGACCAAUGUCUGAAGUUUCAACUGAUCAGAAUCGAGGCUGAUAUUCCAUAUGACGCGGGGGUCUAGACGCCCGGCUGUGCUAUCUGGUAGUUCAGAAUGGGGAACUGAGAUAGCAGAGAAGCCCACUGGAACCUAAAGAUUACUAAGGAGACCCCAGCUUCUAUCUUCACAUCAUUUAAGUUGACAUCCAACAAACCAACAUUUGCCAAAAACUCAGUCUCCAGAGUCUCAGCCACUGCUACAAUCUCAGAAGGAGGAACAAAUAAGAACAAGUACAAUAAAAUCCUUUGUUAUGAGGCAGGAAAAAAUUCAUUUUUCCUUCAUUAAAGAAAAAAAAGGAUCAUCCCCAAGAAUCUACUACCCACACACCAAGUAACUAUAGUGACAAAUAGCAUAAUUCAGUUCAGUUUGGCUCCUUUUAGCUACUAUACUUCGGCAACUGACCAAAAAAGUGGGUUAAAAUAUUCUUUAAGUGUACCUUUAUCAGGUCUGAUGUCAUCGAAAUCUGAAGAUUUUUUUUCUGGUGAACAGAAAGUUAAAAAAAAGGCCGGGUGGGGGGCGAGGGAUUGGAUGAUGAGAACUGUCCCUACAUAAUGAAAGAUUGAGGUGCAACUCUACGAAAAGAAAAUAUUUUAAAGUUUAGAAGUUCUGUGGAAAAGCAAGUAGUUGUGUCUUAAGGAAAAAAGAAUAACCAGAAUAUGAAGGUUUGAUACAUACCCCACUUAUCAAAGAUUUAAUGGUCAGAUACCUGUUCAAUUCAAAAUUUCUAAAAAGAAAUUGCAGGUGGUAUUAAUAAAAGGUGAUUUUACCACCUAUUAUACUAAAAUAACAUAUAUACCAAUAAUCAACUCUGUAACUUGAGCAAACCAUGCUAAUCAAAAUUUUAUCUACCAAUGGGUAUUUCAGCGGAGGAAUAUAUAACAUCCAGUAUAAAUUGUGGACUCUGGUCAUACUGAUGACAACACAAAAUUUUAAUUAAAAGGAAAUAUAGUGAGGACUCCCAUUUCCACGCACAAAGAAUUAACUAUUACAGGAACUGCCUCAAUGCUAUAAAACAACUAGAAAAAGUGGUAACAUGUAUGAAAUAACAAUCACCAGAUGAGUAAUAACGGGCAGUAAGGGACUGUGAUUUUUGAAAGAAGCAGACAAGGAGAAUCCUAUAAUUACCCAUCUUACUUCCUAAAGGCAUUUUCUAGGCCACAGUGCAGGAAAGGGGAAAGCAAACAGAGCCCAAAGAUCUUGCUGAGUUGAGAAGAAAGAGAUUGAAACUCAGAAAGCUAGACUACACGGGUUUAAAUAUUAUAGACAAAAGAGGUGCACAGAGAUGGAGCUCCAAAGAUCAGCUGAGGGCUCCCCUCAAGUUCUGGGCUGAGUAAUAUCUGGACAUGCAUGAGAGGAAACUAAAUCCCAAGGCUGGCGAAAGAGCAAAGCAGUGGGCCACGCAAGUCUUAGGAGUCAUGCAGGACCAGGAAUGAUUUGUGUUCCCAGAAGUCAACGGAAAGAUCUUAGAAUAUGUGACUGAAGGGAUAGAGUCCUUAGAAGGCUAUUUUGCCUUCAUGGUUGAGAAAAAUUUGUGUUCUACUAGAACCUGCUCUGGACCUAUACUAACAGACCUUAAAAGAAAGCCCCCCCAAAUUAAAGUAAUUUCAAAUAACUGAAUUCUGUGAAAGAACAAAGUCCAAAACUCUUUAAUGGAAAACAACAAAAUCUAAUGUUCAACAACAUGAAAUUUAAAAUGCCCAGCAUCCAAACAAAAAUUAUCAGGCAUGCAGACAGGAAAGAAAACACUGACUACAUUUAUAAUCAGGAGAAACACCAAUCAAUAGGAACAGAGUCAUA